ACUGCUCAGUAACACGUGGACAACCUGCCCUUAGGUUGGGUAUAAACCCGGGAAACUGGGUAUAAUACCCGAUAGGUCUCGAUUGCUGGAAUGCAUCGAGAUUUAAAGCUCCGGCGCCUAAGGAUGGGUCUGCGGCCUAUCAGGUAGUAGUGGGUGUAGCGUACCUACUAGCCUACGACGGGUACGGGUUGUGAGAGCAAGAGCCCGGAGAUGGAUUCUGAGACACGAAUCCAGGCCCUACGGGGUGCAGCAGGCGCGAAAACUUUACAAUGCUGGCAACAGCGAUAAGGGAACCUCGAGUGCCAGGUUACAAAUCUGGCUGUCGAGAUGCCUAAAAAGCAUUUCAUAGCAAGGGCCGGGCAAGACCGGUGCCAGCCGCCGCGGUAACACCGGCGGCUCGAGUGGUAACCGUUAUUAUUGGGUCUAAAGGGUCUGUAGCCGGCCGGAUAAGUCUCUUGAGAAAUCUGGCAGCUUAACUGUCAGGCUUUCAGGAGAUACUGUCUGGCUCGAGGCCGGGAGAGGUGAGAGGUACUUCAGGGGUAGGGGUGAAAUCUUGUAAUCCUUGAAGGACCACCAGUGGCGAAGGCGUCUCACCAGGACGGACCUGACGGCAAGGGACGAAAGCUAGGGGCACGAACCGGAUUAGAUACCCGGGUAGUCCUAGCCGUAAACGAUACUCGCUAGGUGUCGGCCACGGUGCGACCGUUGUCGGUGCCGUAGGGGAGCCGUGAAGCGAGCCACCUGGGAAGUACGGCCGCAAGGCUGAAACUUAAAGGAAUUGGCGGGGGAGCAC
rnacentral:rRNA from 1 species